rnacentral:rRNA from 1 species
UACGAAGGGGGCUAGCGUUGCUCGGAAUUACUGGGCGUAAAGGGCUCGUAGGUGGCCAACUAAGUCAGACGUGAAAUCCCUCGGCUUAACCGGGGAACUGCGUCUGAUACUGGAUGGCUUGAGUGUGGGAGAGGGAUGCGGAAUUCCAGGUGUAGCGGUGAAAUGCGUAGAUAUCUGGAGGAACACCGGUGGCGAAGGCGGCGUUCUGGACUGCAACUGACACUGAGAAACGAAAGCCAGGGUAGC